rnacentral:misc_RNA from 1 species
GAUGAAGAACGUAGCGAAAUGCGAUAAGUAAUGUGAAUUGCAGAAUUCAGUGAAUCAUCGAAUCUUUGAACGCACAUUGCGCCCGCCAGUAUUCUGGCGGGCAUGCCUGUUCGAGCGUCAUUUCAACCCUCAGGCCCCCAGUGCCUGGCGUUGGGGAUCGGCGCGGCGCCCUCCGGGGCGCUGCCGGCCCCGAAAUUCAGUGGCGGUCUCGCUGUAGCCCUCCUCCGCGUAGUAGCACAACCUCGCGGCCUGGAGCUCGGCGGUGGCCAUGCCGUAAAACACCCCACUUCUGAAAGUUGACCUCGGAUCAGGUAGGAAUACCCGCUGAACUUAAGCAUAUCAAUGAGCGGAGGA